rnacentral:rRNA from 1 species
GCCAACCAGCUAGCUUAAUUACUAAUAUAAUUCAACAAUAUUCAUAACAACACAAGACCCAACAACACGAAUUAAAUCAUUUUUUUACCUGAGUAUGGGAGACAGAAAAGGUUCAAUCCGAAGCAAUAGAAAAAGUACCGCAAGGGAAAGCUGAAAGAGAAAUGAAACAACCCAUAUAAGCACUAAAAAACAAAGACUAAACCUUGUACCUUUUGCAUCAUGAUUUAGCCAGUAACCUCAAGCGAAGAGACCUUUAGUUUGGAGCCCCGAAACCAGGUGAGCUACCCCGAGACAGCCUAUGUUAAUUUAGGGCCAACCCGUCUCUGUGGCAAAAGAGUGGGAAGAGCUCCGGGUAGAAGUGACAGACCUACCGAACCUGGUGAUAGCUGGUUGCCUGAGAAGUGGAUAGAAGUUCAGCCUCGUACCCCCCCAAAUCGAAAGAUAUAUCACCAAGAUACUAAGGGAGAAAUACGAGAGUUAGUUAAAGGGGGUACAGCCCCUUUAACAAAGGAUACAACCUUUGCAGGAGGAUAAAGAUCAUAAUAUAUAAAACAUACUGUUCUAGUGGGCCUAAGAGCAGCCACCUAAACAGAAAGCGUUAAAGCUCAGACAGAAAGAAGUUUAUUAUACCGAUAAAGAGUCUUACUCCCCUAAUUAUAUCAGGCCAACCCAUGCCCACAUGGAAGAAAUUAUGCUAAAAUGAGUAACAAGAAGACUUGCUCUUCUCCCAGCACAAGUGUAGACCAGAUCGGACCAACCACUGGAAUUUAACGAACCCAACCCAAGAGGGCAGUGUGGAUAACAAGAAUCUCAAGAAGAACUCACAACUGAAUGAUCGUUAACCCCACACUGGAGUGCCAUUUAAAGGAAAGACUAAAAGAAAGGGAAGGAACUCGGCAAACACAAGCCUCGCCUGUUUACCAAAAACAUCGCCUCCUGCAACUAGACUAAGUAUAGGAGGUCCAGCCUGCCCAGUGACUACGGGUUCAACGGCCGCGGUAUUUUGACCGUGCAAAGGUAGCGCAAUCACUUGUCUCUUAAAUAGAGACCUGUAUGAAUGGCUAGACGAGGGCUUAACUGUCUCCCCCUUCCAGUCAGUGAAAUUGAUCUAUCCGUGCAGAAGCGGGUAUAAUUAUACAAGACGAGAAGACCCUUUGGAGCUUAAGGUACAAAGUUCAACCACGUUAAACGACUCCGUAAGAAGCAGGAACUUAGUGGUAAAUGAGACUUUACCUUCGGUUGGGGCGACCGCGGAGGAAAAGCAAGCCUCCGAGUGGACUGGGCCAAACCCCUAAAGCUAAGAGAAACAUCUAUAAGCCGCAGAACAUCUGACCAAAAAUGAUCCGACUAAAAAGCCGAUCAACGAACCAAGUUACCCUAGGGAUAACAGCGCAAUCCUCUCCCAGAGUCCAUAUCGACGAGGGGGUUUACGACCUCGAUGUUGGAUCAGGACAUCCUAAUGGUGCAGCCGCUAUUAAGGGUUCGUUUGUUCAACGAUUAAAGUCCUACGUGAUCUGAGUUCAGACCGGAGCAAUCCAGGUCAGUUUCUAUCUGUAACGCUACUUUUCCCAGUACGAAAGGAUCGGAAAAGAGGGGCCCAUACUUAAAGCAUGCCCCGCCCCUAAUUGAUGAAAACAAAUAAAUUAAGUAAAGGGAGGGCCAAAACCCCUGCCGCCCAAGAUAAGGGCA